UACGGAGGGGGCUAGCGUUAUUCGGAAUUACUGGGCGUAAAGCGCACGUAGGCGGAUGGACAAGUCAGAGGUGAAAUCCCAGGGCUCAACCUUGGAACGGCCUUUGAAACUGUGCGUCUUGAGAUCGAGAGAGGUGAGUGGAAUUCCGAGUGUAGAGGUGAAAUUCGUAGAUAUUCGGAGGAACACCAGUGGCGAAGGCGGCUCACUGGCUCGAUACUGACGCUGAGGUGCGAAAGCGUGGGGAGCAAACAGG
rnacentral:rRNA from 1 species